rnacentral:rRNA from 1 species
CAUGCAAGUCGAACGAGUUCUGAUUAUUGAAAGGUGCUUGCAUCUUGAUUUAAUUUUGAACGAGUGGCGGACGGGUGAGUAACACGUGGGUAACCUGCCCUUAAGUGGGGGAUAACAUUUGGAAACAGAUGCUAAUACCGCAUAAAUCCAAGAACCGCAUGGUUCUUGGCUGAAAGAUGGCGUAAGCUAUCGCUUUUGGAUGGACCCGCGGCGUAUUAGCUAGUUGGUGAGGUAACGGCUCACCAAGGCAAUGAUACGUAGCCGAACUGAGAGGUUGAUCGGCCACAUUGGGACUGAGACACGGCCCAAACUCCUACGGGAGGCAGCAGUAGGGAAUCUUCCACAAUGGACGCAAGUCUGAUGGAGCAACGCCGCGUGAGUGAAGAAGGCUUUCGGGUCGUAAAACUCUGUUGUUGGAGAAGAAUGGUCGGCAGAGUAACUGUUGUCGGCGUGACGGUAUCCAACCAGAAAGCCACGGCUAACUACGUGCCAGCAGCCGCGGUAAUACGUAGGUGGCAAGCGUUAUCCGGAUUUAUUGGGCGUAAAGCGAGCGCAGGCGGUUUUUUAAGUCUGAUGUGAAAGCCCUCGGCUUAACCGAGGAAGUGCAUCGGAAACUGGGAAACUUGAGUGCAGAAGAGGACAGUGGAACUCCAUGUGUAGCGGUGAAAUGCGUAGAUAUAUGGAAGAACACCAGUGGCGAAGGCGGCUGUCUGGUCUGUAACUGACGCUGAGGCUCGAAAGCAUGGGUAGCGAACAGGAUUAGAUACCCUGGUAGUCCAUGCCGUAAACGAUGAAUGCUAGGUGUUGGAGGGUUUCCGCCCUUCAGUGCCGCAGCUAACGCAUUAAGCAUUCCGCCUGGGGAGUACGACCGCAAGGUUGAAACUCAAAGGAAUUGACGGGGGCCCGCACAAGCGGUGGAGCAUGUGGUUUAAUUCGAAGCAACGCGAAGAACCUUACCAGGUCUUGACAUCUUUUGAUCACCUGAGAGAUCAGGUUUCCCCUUCGGGGGCAAAAUGACAGGUGGUGCAUGGUUGUCGUCAGCUCGUGUCGUGAGAUGUUGGGUUAAGUCCCGCAACGAGCGCAACCCUUAUGACUAGUUGCCAGCAUUUAGUUGGGCACUCUAGUAAGACUGCCGGUGACAAACCGGAGGAAGGUGGGGAUGACGUCAAAUCAUCAUGCCCCUUAUGACCUGGGCUACACACGUGCUACAAUGGAUGGUACAACGAGUUGCGAGACCGCGAGGUCAAGCUAAUCUCUUAAAGCCAUUCUCAGUUCGGACUGUAGGCUGCAACUCGCCUACACGAAGUCGGAAUCGCUAGUAAUCGCGGAUCAGCACGCCGCGGUGAAUACGUUCCCGGGCCUUGUACACACCGCCCGUCACACCAUGAGAGUUUGUAACACCCGAAGCCGGUGGCGUAACCCUUUUAGGGAGCGA